UACGGAGGGUGCAAACGUUGCUCGGAAUCAUUGGGCGUAAAGCGCACGUAGGCGGUUCGUUAAGUCGGAUGUGAAAGCCCUGGGCUCAACCCAGGAAGAGCAUUCGAAACUGGCGGACUAGAGUAUGGAAGAGGGUCGCGGAAUUCCCGGUGUAGAGGUGAAAUUCGUAGAUAUCGGGAGGAACACCAGUGGCGAAGGCGGCGACCUGGGCCAAUACUGACGCUGAGGUGCGAAAGCGUGGGGAGCAAACAGGAUUAGAAACCCCCGUAGUCC
rnacentral:rRNA from 1 species